GAGCGUUUCUUCCCCAACGGCGGGUAAAAAGGUAGCGAAGCGAAGAAUUACGGAAAAUUCGAGGCGAAAGCCUCGCCCUUCAGGGCGGGGAUGAAGCCGACCAACAGUAUUCA
rnacentral:misc_RNA from 1 species